rnacentral:piRNA from 1 species
UGCUUUAGGGCCAUAAUGAUGCUCAAC